GCCCCCACACCUACACCCGCACCCGCACCCACUCCUUGUCCUCCCCGCACCCGCCACCUGCAUCCCAGCUUAGCCUGCCAGGGACCGCAGGCUGGAUCGCCCCAGACAGGCCUCGUCCUCUCGAGGACGACGCCUUUCCACCUGGCUCCCAGACUUCCAGAUAUCUGCAGCACAAGAAAGCCGAUCCGUCACGCCGUCCACACUGCAGCCGGCGGCCACCGCAGGUGCUACAGCCCCUCUCCCUGUGCUGGGAGCGGCAGUGACAGCGGACGCAUGGCCGCCUCUCAGGCAAGGACCCUUUGUAAAUGAUGGGGGCGCAACCCGCCCACCGCCCCGGAGAGAAAACCCAGACGGGCCUCAGCCCAUCAGCUCCGCUGCCGGUGACCCUCCCCGUCCGGCCCGUCCAGGGCCAUAGCCCAAAACUGAGGAGACACGCGGUGCCACCCUCGGCCAGCUACAGAAACGGGGGACCCCGGGGAGGGGCGGGGGGAGGAAAUGGGUUAUGGUAAAGCCCAGGAAGAAGUUGUGGGUACUCACCGUUCAAGUGUGUUCCCUGCAGACACGGUCCUCAGCCCACGGAGGACCGUGGGAGCUCAGUCCAGUUAAGGUGGGGUCGCUGGAUGGGCCCUCGUCCUGUAUGACUUUCCCUGGAGGAAGGGGGGGUCCACGCCAGGCACCAAGGUCUCCACAGAAACCAAGCCUUCUCAUUCCUUGGCUUUGGACCUCCAGCCUCCAGAAGUGAAACAGAGAAAUUUCUGUUGUCUAAGCCCCCCGUGUGGUGGUUUGUCACCGCGGCCCGAGUGCACAGACACGGCCACCGUAGCUGUCACAGCAGAAGCUGGUGGCAGCCCCAGCCGCCUCCCCCAGGUCUGAUUCCAUGUACCUUUCCCCCCAACCAGGGUGUGAGCUGCCUGGGACCUUCUGUCUCGUGUUCACCUUGUUCUGCGCCUGGGGGGCUGGGCCUUUGUCACGGGCGAACAGGGGGCCACCUCCUCACCCCCCACCCCCACCCCCAGGGUAGCAAGAGCCCCGGUGCCCUUGUUCACCAGCUGAGAUCACUGGAAGGUGACGCCUGGGGUCUGUGGGUUACGCAAGACAUCUGACGGGUCAGUUGGAGCAUUUGUGUCGCCUGGGGAAGCAUCCUUCCGCAGAGCCCAAGAGCACAGAGAAAGGAAGGAAAUGCUUUGCUGGUGAGUCCCCGGCCGCCAAGGGAGGGAGUUCUGCUGGCUGCUGGCACCUACCUCCCACAAUCUCCAGCCCAACAAGGGCAGAAAAGCCCCUCGCUGCAGGGCCAGUGUCGGCUGCCCAGGCCAGGACAUCCCCCCCACCCCGGUCCCCCAGUGCCGUGACCGUCCCUCAAUCGCCGACACCGCUAUCCUAACAGGGCACCAUCCGUAGGACCGCAUGGCAGGACUCGAGAAUCCCGGGUCACUGGCCGCUGGGUCUCCUUCCCUCCCAUCUUGGUCAGCUCAGGCCCUAACAAAACACCUGACUGGGGUGGACACAAGGGGCCUUCGUUCCUCGUCGUUCAGGAGCCCAAGAAGUCUGAGGUCGGGGCGCCAGCACGUCCCUGUCUGGUGGGACCCACCUCCUGGCUCACAGAAGGUUCUAGUAUCUUCCUUUAAGGGGCUCCACCUCCAUGACCUCACCUCAACCUAAUCACCUCCAGAGGCCCCCCUCCAAAUACCGUCACCUCCGGGGGGUAGGGCUUCAAAGUAUGGACCUGAGGACACAAACCCUCAGCCCAUGGUGCCCCUUGGCCGUGAGUUUCUGGGUCAGAAACUAUUCGUGCAUUUUCAAUGCGUUUGGGCCAAGGGUCGCCCACGGGUGCAGCUGCUGGACAAAACAGGGCGUGUAUCCGUGACUGGCACUUACUGUGCCCUCCCUUCGCCCCCCUCCCCCAAGCAGGUCAGGGAGAACCACCCUGAGGCCACCAGGAGGCGCCAGGGGGCUGGGCCACCGCUGGCCCAACACACCUGCGUCAGACUGCCCACCACCUCGCACAGCCUCCAGCUGUGAGCAGGACAGACGGAGCCCGGAGCCCCGGUCUGCUGUGCCCUGCCCCGUCACCUCAUGGGACUCCCUCUGGCACUCAGCCCGACCUGCCAGACCUAUCCCCCCCCCCCACUGCCCCACCUGCCUCUCCCACUGGAGUGCGAGCAGGGCAGAGUCCCCGAUUGUGUUGACCUGAACCCCAGGCACAACACCGGACAUCUCAUUGAUGUUGGCGAUGCUGACAGCAAGAGAGUGGGGAACAGCACAGAGACGGGGCGGCGGGGGGGGGGCCGUGAGGUCUGAGCCACGUCUCCCUUAGAAAUACUGCCCUUCCUCCUCCUCCCCACCUGCCCCAGAAGUUCCUGGGAAGCGAUUUCAACACAUGGUACCCGGGCUGCGUGAAAGCAGACGCACUCAUGCACUUUGGCAUCUGGGAGUCAGGGGUUCGAAUUCGAGCCUGGGCCUUUCUGAUGGGCGUGAGGACCCCACCCGGGGGUCCUUCCCUCAGGGAGACCUCACAGAAGUGCAGGGGCCUCCCGCACCCCGCGUGCGAGGCCACGGGACCCAGGAGGUGCCCUGUUCCCUUGGCAGAAACAUCCAGAGCAACUGACUGCCACCGCAGGCAAUGUCCCCUUAAGGUUAAUCAUUCAGCGGCACUAGAGUUUGACCAGGGAAUCCGGUAAAACCGCAUCUUCUUAUGUGUAGAACGAGGCCAGGGUUACGGGAUGAGGAUGAGCCAAAUAUUAGCUUUCAGAUAUGCUGCCUAGGACGGCCUUCCAGACCUGAGCGGUGUGGCCCACGUGGAAGUUGCUCUGAGGUCAAGCAAACACACUGAACCCUGGUGAGCGGCGAACUUCGACCCACUUUGUGGAAGAUUCCUACAGAACUGAGCUGAGCUCGCUCUGUGUUUUCACGUCCCUGACUCAUCCGUGUGACGGUACGACCUUCCCGGGGAGUUCAGGUCAGAUGUGCCUCGGUUCACCUGGCGAUUUUCACCUCUGGCACUGAGAUCACAUUUAGGAAAAAAAAAAAAAAAAGAAAAAAAAAAGAAAAAAGACAGUGUGUCUGCUGAAGUCCAAAGUCCAGAAUUCAAGUUCCCCACCGCCAGCUCCAGGCGGACAAGAGGCACCAUCGUGGAAAGCUCAUGGAGCUUGCUGGGGGCCACGCAGGGAAAACAAGAGGCGACCCCGGGCCAUGACCAGGAGGAAACGUUCAUGGCGCAUCAGAGCUUGAAUGUGGUCACUAAAAACUUCAAGUCCUGCGUGUGGCUCCGGUGAUAUUUCGAGUUCCUUUUUCCUCAUGCCGGGGUCUCGUGGGAGAGGGAUUCCAUCGCCGGCUGUCCUAUUGCAUGUUGCACCUGCUGGACAUGUUUGAUUACUUCCUGAGAGUGUCCCUGGGUUACAUGCCUUAAUCCUUGCAUUUCCAGGCUUGAUGGGAUUCAGGUUCCAGAUGUGGGUGGACCCUUCACCAGCUGUUUACUUGAAGCAUCACACCGGGAGGCAUGAAAAAACAUGGCAAGUUUACUGCUAGAGAAGAUUGCUUCUACCGUGUGAGGCAUCACAGACCUGCCUGCCAGGAAACCCUCCACAGGACCCCCACGGAGGACCCCCCUACCCACACAAGCACUGCCCUGGAUAUGGUGUGUAUGGACUGCCUACACAACACCGGCCCACAUGGGUGCGGUGUAACUAAGGGCCAGCUUCCCCCCUCCUCUGACUUCAAUCUGUCUGAGCUCACAGUUCCUGUUCCUCAUAGUCAACAGGGAAGCCCUGUGUGUGACCGUCAUUUCUGGACUUUGAGAACUCCGGGCGUAUGAGGUUCUGGCUUGAUGCUAGGCCCUUGCAGCCUCUUCCGGAAACCUGGGACCCAAGCCAGCGAUGUUUCAUUUUUACCUUUCCAUACGCUGUCCGUGUAGGGACCGGGUGAGGUUUCUAGGCCUUUCUAGAAUUUCAGGAAAUAAUGUAGCUGGGUCUCUUGCCUCCUGCUGUGUUCUCUUAUACAUGAGACCAUAUUACCUGCUCCGUAGUUGAAGUAGGAAAGGUACAUAUUUACAUGGAAGAAGUCCGAAUUGUGGCAACAUGAAAUAAAGAAAGCACGGCUCUUAGAGAAAGAGAGCCAGAUUCAGAUCUCGGGGAAGCUGCUGCUUAGCAGAGCGUUAUUCCUUUUAUAUAUUCCUUUAAUUAAAUCCUCUAGCUCCUACCUUCCACGCAAUGGGAACUUAACAGAAGCCUCGAAGAUCCAAGUGUGGCCCAACUGUGGCAAGCAGAAUGUUCAGACGCUGGCCUGGCGGUGACACCAGGAACUGGGGACAGGAGCCCUCAGUAGUGUUUCUCCACGCGCUGUCACUGACCAGCUUUCAGAGGCUCCCCUCCAGAUCUCCUGAAGCUCUAAGCUUGCGGGGGUCUAGGAAUCUGCAGAGGAUUCUUCUGAUCCACCGCUCCUGAGGAAAAGAAAAUACUAGGAGUUCAUUCAUUUAUUCCUUCACCUUGAAGCACCAGCUGAACAUAACCGACCUUCCUGUGUUAUUCUGGGAUGGCAGUGCUGCCUAUUCAGACAACUUUCAAACAAGAUCAAGGUCAGGUGUGACCCACGGAGAUCCUGAGCAGAAAAUGAAUCUGAUUCAAAGGCCUGCUGUUUUACUUCUCAAAGGCAUUUCUUUAAUGCCAUUUAAAAAGAUUUUUUUUUUUUUUUUGAGAGAGAGAGAGUGAGCCGAGGAGGGGCAGAGAGAGAGAGGAGAAAGAAUCCCAAGCAGGCUCUGCACUGUCAGCAGAAAUCAAGAGUCGGAGGUUCACUGACUGAGCCACCCAGCGCCCCUGAUGUUUAUUUUCGAUAGCGUAUGUUUCCUGUACAAAUUUCAAUAGGAAUAAAAAAAAGUAUACGGUGAAAAGGCAGUUUCUCUCCAGCCCUCUGCACUUGGACAUCUUUUGAGGCAGUCCCUGCUAACACGUCCCUUUCAACUUUGGAAACAAACUUACAGAUUUUCUCUGUCCCCAUGCACAAAUGAGUAGCACACUUUACACACGACUCUGCCCCUUGAUUUUUCUUACACAUUUUAGAGCUCUUUCCAUACCGGCACACACAGAGCACCCUUCCCCUUCCGAGCUGCUUACAUGAUUCAGUGGAAUGGAUGCAGCGUGAUCUAACUCUCCCUGUGG